AAGGUAAUCGCUCUGCAUUUGGUUGUCUGCUGCAUUGUCUGAUAUAUGAAACAUCUAGCCUUGCAAAGUUGCAUUGUGGCGUGUAAAAAGAAACUCUUACAAAAGCACAAAUUGGAAUUUAGUUGCCUUCACAUAAGUUUACGGGUUGAAUCGAAUUAUGCUGUGUUUGGUUCUAAAUGAUAAACAUCGGACAUUAGAAGCUCUAAGACAAGAGGAGACUGUGGACGAAGUUCAAUCGGCAUAAUGCUCUUAUACGUCUUUUAGCCCAGAAGAGCAAAUAAUUGAAACAAAUGAACACAAUAGAGAGUCUUCUUGAAAAAUUGUAGUUUCUUUGAUGCAUCAUAUUUAAUUAUGUGUAACUAUGUAUCGUGCCUCUUGUUUUACUUAUGUGUAGCUGUCACUGAAUUUUGGGUGUAGUUGAACAAAUGGUUCUUAUUCUCUCUCUCUCUCUCUCUCCUCAAAUAGUGUUAAGAUAAGUAGGUCUUUCAUGGUGCUUGUGAGUGAUGAAUGUUUAAUUUUUAUGGGUACCUGUAAGAUGGUAGACUGCUGAGACGCCUGUUUCACCUUCUCCCUUUCUGUAAUGGAAUGUCAUUGCCUUUCUGAAGUUAUGCAUGCAUGUGUGCUACAGCUAAUUUCACUAUGCGAAAAUCACGCAUAAAGUAUGAAUUCUGUAGCAGUAAGCAUGGCUGUGGCAUGUGUGCUUCUCAGAGAAAUUUUUUGGAAAUAUAACUCCUUUCCACUGGUUAUUUGGUGUGUAUGUUAUAUUUCUGAUUGCAACGUAUCUCCUGCCAAAUAAUAUGAUACUUCUUUUUACAGGCUUGACAUGUAUGUAUAAAUGUAAUUUUGACAUAAAACUUACUUUAUGGGCAAUCUUCUAAGGUAGUCUCUGCUGUUGUUUCUGGCAGACUCUUCUUGAUGUUGCAGCGAUUUCCUGUAGAAUCAAAAGGACGACGUAAGAAGCUGCAGGAGGUAAACACUUCAAAAAGUUUUUCUUAAGCACCCAUAAGUUUUCAUCUUUAGAUGUACUUAUUUUCCCUUUUUUGUGUUUUUGGCGUUGACAGGUUGGCUAUGUGACAACCAUAUGUUUUGCAUGUUUCCUUGUCAGAUGCAUAAUGGUGAGUCUGCUUGAAUGUUUUUGGAGUAAGCCUACUACUAGUACUACUUGAACUUGAGGAAGUAGGUCAAAGUUUUAAACAAUCAAAACCACAUGGACAGACUCUUUUAGUUUUCCAUAUAAUUUACAUUGGAUGUUGUACCAACUGUCAUCAAAUUUGCUAAGGCUGUUCAUUUUGCUCAACGAAUGGUAAUAGCUGAAUUGUCGCACCUGAUUUAUUAAUUCCUCACUUAAGCUUCUAUGGUUCUUAUAUUGUGCUACAGAUGUGCUUCAAUGCAUUUGAUAAAGCAGCAGAUCUUGAUGUUUUGAAUCACCCAAUUCUAAACUUUAUAUAUUACCUGGUAAGCAUUUGGUUUAUAUUUUUUGCUUGGCUAAAGUAACUUUUUUUGUCCAUUAAGCGGCCUCAUUGGAGUUUGAAGUUUGGUCGUUGAAAUUUUCCUUCCCCAUUUCUUGUAGUUGGUGGAGAUAUUGCCUUCUUCUUUGGUCCUUUUCAUUUUGAGGAAGUUGCCUCCAAAGCGCGGGAUCACACAAUAUCACCCUAUUCGCUGAGGAUGGAGAACAUUUGAUGAAAGAAUACCAAGAAUGGUCUUACGAAUACGUGAAGUUUGAGAUGCUUAUCUACCCACCAUGGAAAACGAAAUGUUGGUUAGAGAGGGAAAAGUUGACCAUUGUGUGCUUUGAGGAACAGCUUUAUUGGAUUCUGAGUGUUUGUUCUCAGCAGGGGGUGGUAGAUUUGUUGAAAAGAAAUGACCUUUUAAGGAUUGUCAAAUGUGUUAGUAUCGUGGUCUUUUAUUUUGAGUGUGUUGAAUCAUACGACUGGUGCUUUGUUGUUUUAACAGUCUUGAGCAUUCCAUGAAUAGGAAAAGGGGACCCCAAAAAAUGUGAUUUCUGUAUGAUUGCUGUCACGUACUCUGGGUGGGUAUUUUGGAGAGAUUGUGUGAAGAAAACUUGCACUCUUUGAUAGUUUUUUCUUCAAUACGGUGUUUACAUGUGAUUGCGGUCAUCUGUUGUACUAUAAAAAUGACUAUCUUGUGAAUUGUGGUGUUGUGUCUGAUAUAUAGUCCAUGCCUUGCCAAAUAUCAUUUCAUUUCAUGUCAUGUCAUGUAUGAACAAUGCCAUAUAUUCAUGGAGUAAACAGCAGAAAUUAGGAAUCAAUUAUGUAAAAUUUGCUGGAAAUAACUUGAUCUUGGAAAUUGCUCUGUGAUAGUUUUGUUUACAACAUGGUGUGUACCUGUUCCAAGACUCUGCCUGCUUCGCUUCAUGGCUGAAACUUGCGGUCGUCUUCAACGCCAUCUAGAUUCCGGCCUUUUGGCAGGGAAGUUUGCACCCGGAAGUUGGAACUCUGAGGUGAUGAGAUAGGUUUACCAUCUGGUUGAACAAGAAUGGAAAUGAAGGUGUUAAGAAAAUGGAUUGUAUUCAAUUGAUUAGGGUGGUUCAGAUGGUUGACUAUAUGUGAUGGAAGCCAUUGAUUUCACCCUCCCUCCCUCUACUGGUCGUCUGUGUCAACCGCCAUAUUGAAUGGUAGGUUUUACCACUGAUUGUUCAAGUGGGUUUUGAAUGGUAGGUAAUGUCCAACUCCAACGUAAGAAAAAGAGAGACUAAUGAAACUCGUGCGUGGUUCUAAAGCUUGGAUUACUUGCGAAAUUAGUUUAAGUUACUACUCACUUGGGUUUGGGUGUACAUAAACACUCGUUGUUUGCUUAUAAUUAGUAUGUAUGUAUGGCCUUGAUCUCUGCAUGAUAACGGAUGAUUUUCUCUGUUUUCCCCCAAAAACUCCUUUUUAAAAACAAAGGUGGUUAACUUAGAAGAUUACUUUUGUGUGUUUUUGGACUGAGUUGAGUUAGGAGAUUACUGAAACUCUAAACUCGGAUUAACUUGUGAAUAAGUAAAGUUACUUGGGUCUGCUGUUCUUUCUUACUUUCUUUCUAAGUGUAUUUUUUUUUCCCAUCUUACAUUUUUGGGUUCUUAGGUUUAACAGUCGUUUAAUUUUGACCUGAUUCGCAUUUUUGUCUUUUAAUUUCUAAAAAGUAAAUUUAAGUUUUAACCACAAAAAAACUUUCAUUUUUGAAAAAAGCCAAAGUUUUUACAAAAAAGACAGAAAAAUCUCUCAACUUUCAAAC
rnacentral:lncRNA from 1 species